rnacentral:rRNA from 1 species
UACUUUGCGAACACUCGAACUGGAUAAUUGGGGGAAUUCUGCGACUAAUACAAUUCGCUCGCUGGGGUAUCCGGCUCUCGACCAACCGCCUUGUGCGUCUUGUGUUGAAUCACGGAUUCCCUUCGUCGAUUCUAUCGACACGCAAAAUGGAUUUCUGCCCUAUCAACUAGACGGUUGGCUCUGGGCCUACCGUGGUUACAACGGGUGACGGGGAAUGAGGGUUCGACCCCGGAGAGGGAGCCUGAGAGACGGCUACCACAUCUAAGGAAGGCAGCAGGCGCGCAAAUUACCCAAUUCCUACUUGGGAGAGGUAGUGACAAGAUAUAACAAUAUCGGGCUCUAAGAGU